rnacentral:rRNA from 1 species
AACGAACGCUGGCGGCAUGCCUAACACAUGCAAGUCGAACGAGACCUUCGGGUCUAGUGGCGCACGGGUGCGUAACGCGUGGGAACCUGCCCUUAGGUUCGGAAUAACUCCCCGAAAGGGGUGCUAAUACCGGAUAAUGUCUUCGGACCAAAGAUUUAUCGCCUUUGGAUGGGCCCGCGUUGGAUUAGCUAGUUGGUAGGGUAAAAGCCUACCAAGGCGACGAUCCAUAGCUGGUCUGAGAGGAUGAUCAGCCACACUGGGACUGAGACACGGCCCAGACUCCUACGGGAGGCAGCAGUGGGGAAUAUUGGACAAUGGGCGAAAGCCUGAUCCAGCACUGCCGCGUGAGUGAUGAAGGCCUUAGGGUUGUAAAGCUCUUUUACCCGGGAUGAUAAUGACAGUACCGGGAGAAUAAGCUCCGGCUAACUACGUG